rnacentral:rRNA from 1 species
UACGAAGGGGGCUAGCGUUGUUCGGAAUUACUGGGCGUAAAGGGCGCGUAGGCGGGCUGUCAAGUCUGGGGUGAAAUGCCGCGGCUCAACCGUGGAACUGCCUCAGAUACUGACGGCCUCGAGGGAGGUAGGGGCGUGCGGAACUGUAGGUGGAGCGGUGAAAUGCGUAGAUAUCGGGAGGAACACCUGUGGCGAAGGCGGCCACCUGGUUGGAUACUGACGCUGAGACGCGAAAGCGUGGGGAGCAAACAGG